AAUAAAUAAGCAUCACAUUUAACAGAGUAACCUGAAUGCUAAAGAUUAAACCCAUUAGCAUUUAAGCUGGCCAGAUCUGGCCUCUUGUACCUUCCCUACAACAUCAUUCUAAAAAGUAAUAAUUACAUCAUUGAAAUCUUGAAGCUACAGGAUUUAUGCAUGAUUAAUUCAAAACAAUAUUAUUUAAUAAGUAUUACAUUUGACAGAAUAAUCUCUAUGUUAAAUGGUUAAAUCCUAUAAGAGCAUUUUGACACAUUGCAUGCAAAAAUAUAAAAUAAUCUGAUGAAACAAAUAGAUAUUUCAAUAUUUUUAGUGUAUAAAUAUAAAUAAGUUAAGCAACAGAAAAUUUUGUUCAAUAUAUAGGCGCAGGAGUGGCUGUGUGGUAAGUAGCUUGCUUACCAACCACAUGGUUCUGGGUUCAGUCCCACUGCAUGGCAUCUUGGCAAGUGUCUUCUACUAUAGCCUCAGGCUGACCAAAGCCUUGUGAGUAGAUUUGGUAGAUGGAAACUGAGUGAAGUCUGUUGUAUAUAUGUAUAUGCAUAUAUGUGUGUGUGUUUGUGUGUCUGUGUUUGUCCUCCUAACAUCGCUUGACAACCGGUGCUGGUGUGUUUACGUCCCCGUAACUUAGCGGUUUGGCCGAAAGAGACUGAUAGAAUAAGUACUAGGCUUACAAAGAAUAAGUCCUGGGGUCGAUUUGUUUGACUAAAGGCGGUGCUCCAGCAUGGCCAUGAGUCAAAUGACUGAAACAAGUAAAAGAGUAAAAGAGCAUAUGAAAAAUAGUCAUCAAGAUUUAUAUUUAGAAUUUCAUUUUUAUAGUUUUCACAUUUUUAGAAAAUAUAAUAAUUUUAAUUUCAUAGUGUGCUUAGCAACAGUGAAGGCACAUGGCUUAGAUCGUAAGGUCGGUAGUUUGAUUACUAGUGGCGUGCUGUGUUCUUUAACAAGAUACUAAUUUCAUUGUUGCUCCAGUUCAGUCAACUGGUAAAAAUUAGUUGAACCUGUAGUUCAAAGACCAGCCCUGUCUCAUUUGGUUUGUCACCCUGGAUCUCCCUGAGAACUACAUUAAGAGUACAUGUGUUUAUGUACAUUAUUCACAUUAAUUACAUUAAUUACAUUCAACGGAUAUUUGUCCUCAUCUUGUUUGUUGUUAACACAACGUUUUGGCUGAUAUACCCUCCAGCCUUCUUCAGGUGUCUUGGGGAAAUUUCAAACCUGGGUUCUCAUUCCUAAGGUAUUUUUCGAUGUUGUUGUUAUUAUUAUUAAUAUUAUUAUUAUUAUUAUUAUUGUUAUUAUUGUUAGUGUUCAGGUCACUGCUUGGAAUCGAACUCGGAAUCUUGGAGUUAGUAGCCUGAACUUUUAACCACCAUGCCAUAUGCCCGUUUUAAAUAUAGAACUGCAUGUGUUUAUGUGUUUAUGGAGUACUCAGUCUCUUGCUCAUUAAUUUCAUGAACAAGCUGUUCUGUUGGUUGAAUCAACUGGAACACAUGUCAUCAUAACUGACAGAGUACCCAACCACUUGGUUACAUUUUACGCACAAGUGUACCACAGUAUGUACUGUUUGAGAGCCAAUGUGAUUAGAGUAGAGGUUUUGAGGGAGAUUUGGCUGCUAUAUUUAAUAGGUUGAGUGAUAUAUAAAGUAGUGACUCACAGUUCUUGAGAGCACAUUCUUCGUGGUAAUGGCGAUUUGACAUCUAUGUUUAGCAUAUAGGGUGUCCACUUUAGUGGUCAUUCCUCUUAAUUUUGUAUAUAUAUAUAUAUAUAUAUAUAUAUAUAUAUAUAUAUAUAUGAUGGACUCUCCUGCCAAAGACAACAUUUGAGUGUCCUGCUUUUUUUGUUGAAUGACCUGUACAAAUGAUGUGUAUCAAAUGUAUGUGUUGUACAUUAGCUCACUUCCUCCAACAAAGCAACGUUACCUGAACAGGUGCUCGGUGUACCACGUGUCAGGUGUUGAAGAGAUUGUAAAGCAACAAGAGAUGAAGUGUUUUGCUCAACAACGCAACACACAACCUGGUCUAGGAUUUGAAAUUAUGAUCUCAUGAUUGUGAGUGCAGCACCCUAACAACUAGGCUAUGCACCUUCAUAUGUAUGUAUGUGUGUGUGUGUGUAUGUGUAUUAUGGAGAUGUACUUGCAUAGCAAGUGACCUGAUCUCAGAUCGUGUGCUGGAACAAAAACAAUUGCAGCGUGGUAGGUGUUAAUAAGCCAUUUAAGAAACACACAAAAACUGAUAGAUUUACUUCAACAUUUAAAUUUGAUUUGUCAAAAUAUUUUCAUCGCUUUGACAAUUUUGUUCACGCAAUUUUGUCAGUGAACAGGUCGCGGUCUCAAAGUGAUGAAAAUAUUUUGGCAAAUCAAAUUUAAAUGUUGAAGUGAAUCGAACAGGUUUUGUGUGUUUCUUAAAUUGCUUAUAAACACCUUCCACACUACAAUUGUUUAUAUAUAUAUAUAUAUAUUUGACAAGAUUACAGUUUCCAUCUACUAUGACUACAGUAGAAGACACUUACCUAAAGUAGAACUGAACUCAAGACUGCAUGGUUGAAAAGCAAACUUUUUAACCACCCAUCUGUCUAUCCAUGUCAUUGGCUUCUGUUGUUAAGCAGUCUUGUGUCAUCAUUGUUUUAACAUCCAAUUUUCCAUGUUUGCAUGGGUCAGACAGUAUUUACUUAGGCAGGUUUUCUCUGGCUAAAUGUCCUUUGUGUUACUACGAAGUCUUGUAUAUAACAAAAUUAUAAAUAAUUAAUUCUAUAUCGAUUUUCCAAAGAACUUAAAUUAUAUCUUUAAACAUCUGUUGUACUCCAUGAUACAUCUGGUGGUUCACCAUUUGAGAUCCAUUGAUACAGAAGUCCCCAUUGUUGGCUGGAAUGUUUAAGAGUGAAAAGAUAUGGCAGAAGUCAAAGCUUUAAACUUUAAAAUUGUAGGUUAUCUAAUUGUCCAGUUAAUAUUGUAGAAGCAAAAUCAUAAAAUGUGAUCCACAGAAAUCUUACCAUGUACUUAAACAUGUCUCUUUUGAGAGAACUCCUGUGGGAUUGCUCUACAUGUGAGAAAUAGCAGACAAACCACACUCAAGUUACUUCAUAUUCAACUGUUGAAAUAUGCUGCCUUUAUUUCAAAUAAUUUCAAAAAUAAUGGAAAAUUUAAUAAAACAACUUUGCUAUUAUUAAGCUGGUGUUUGAAACAAAAAUUAACAGUAGGAGUGGCUGUGUGGUAAGUUGUUUGCUUACCAACCACAUGGUUCCGGGUUCAGUCCCACUGCUUGGCACCUUGGGCAAGUGUCUUCUACUAUAGCCUCGGGCCGACCAAAGCCUUGUGAGUGGAUUUGGUAGCUGGUAACACACACAUUAAGUAUAUGUGGUUGGUAAGAUAUGUGCAAGUGUGUGUAUGUGUGUGUUUCCAUCUCUGUUUGACACCCAUUAUCGCUUGGCAACCGAUAAUUGGUUUGUUUAUGUCCCCACAACUUAGCUAGUUUGGCAAAAGGGAGAGAGAUAGAAUAAGUACACCAGGGUUUAAUAAAUAAGUACUGGGGUUCGAUUUGUUUGAGUAAAACCCUUCAAGGGGCUGCCCCCCCACACACACACACACAUGGCUGCAGUUUAAAGAAUGAAAUGAAUAGAAUAUAAAAGAUGAAAUGAUUUUUGACGGAUUGGUAGGGAAUUCAUUUAACACUUCCAGAAUGUACAUCCCUGCUUAAAGCUUUAGAAUACUAAAUCAAUCUAAACAUUUAUUGAUUCCAACUCAAAGAAACUUUGGUAAUUCUUACUAAUUGGUAAGUGGAGGGAUGGCUUUGAGGUUAAUAAGCUCACUGUCUAACUAUAUGGUUUUGGGUUCAGUCCCACUGCACAGCACCUUGGGCAAGUGUCGUCUACUACAACCCCUGGCCGACGAAGCCUUGUGAGUAGAUGUCCAGCCAUGGCGGAAAUAUCACCUUGCUUGGAAACAGGUGAGGGUUGGUGACAGGAAGGGCAUCCACUCAUAGAAAAUUACUGAUACUGAUGUUGAUGAUGCUGAUGGUGAUGAUGGUGGUGGUGAUGUUGACAAUGCUGAUGAUGUUGAUGCUGAGGAAGAUGAUGACGAUAGUGAUGCUGACGAUGCUGAUGGGGAUGCUGAUGGUGAUGAUGAUGAUACUGGCACUGAUGAUGUCAAUGACGAUGCUGCUGAUAAUGCUCAUGACGAUGGUAAUGGUGAUGUUGGUGAUGAUGUUGGCGAUGAUGGUGAUGAUGAUGAUGAUGUCUCAGCAAAGUCAACCAGUUCCCCCUUCAUUGUCGCUUUCACAUGAAGCAAUAUGACAGACUGUUUCAUUGGAUAAUAAGUACUUUGUUUUGACAACUCUUAAGCUCUCAAUGACAGUCUCUUGAUCAUACACAUUUGAUCCGACCUGUUUAUAUAUAAUAUAUUUGCCAAUGUAAUUGAUAGAUUCUUACACUGUAGACAAAUCUUUAUGAAUCUCAUACUUGAGUCUACAUAGGGUGUUUAUUGGUUCGUCAACACUGGUGUUUGGGUUUCUAAAUCUUAGUUCAUGAGUUUUCAUUUACAGCAUAUGACACAUGCCCUCUGUAAAUAGAAUAAUUAUUGGAGUAAUGCCAGAACUCACAAACCAGUGAUAGAACCACUAUGUGGUCAGACAACACUCUAGAAGUAGCAGCCAAAUCUCCGUCAAAUCAGACUCUACCAUCUUCAGAAAAAAAAAUGAGAAAACAAUAGAAAAAUGCUUAUUGAAUAAAGUAGUCUUUGAUAACUCUAAAAAGACAGGAUGGUCAUGGUUGGAAUGCUUUUGAUCUUGGUUAUGGUUGGAAUUCUUUUGAUCAUAUGUUUGUUCAGUCAAGGAUGACCUGGGACUAAAAAACAACAAUGCUGAGGACUUUGAUGGCCAUUUGCUCCAAAAUAAAUUGUGGAUUUAAUGGAUAGAAAUAAUUGUUGGAUUAGGGCAGAAAUAUUGACCAGGCAACCGUAUCAAUAUUUUCUGGUUUUGUUAGCUUUCUGCCAUAAUUUCAUGGGAGUCCCAUUCAUCUGUGGCUAUGUAUGUCUUUAAACUUCGCUAAAAUGUGAUGUUUCAUCAAGUCAUUUUAUGAGACUACAUUCUUGUGGUCUUGAAGAUUCCAACAUAAAAAAAUAGAGCCUGUUAAUAAGAUACAUUCUUUCUUGUGUGUCCUUGCUCUUGAACUUGUAAAUACAAUAUAGUAGAUGGCUUUCCUCAAAUGUUUCACUGUUAUCCCAUUAUUUAUGGCCUAACAAUAGAUAAUGGGAUAACACACAGCAUUUUUGCUCCUCUCCAUGCAUCUCUUUACAGUGGAAAUGGUUGACUUGCUAAAGCUGUUAGUAAGAAUUACCUCAGUUCCAUUAUGUUGACAUCCAUAAAUGUUUAGGUUGAUUUAGUAUUGUACAGUUAAGGCUAUAAGCUAAACAAGAAUGUUUAUUCCAGGUGGGCUAAAUGAUUGCUGCUCGCCCACCAAAUAUGGUAAUUUUUCUUUAUAGUAAUUCUAUUUCUAUUGUGAAGUAAAAAUUUUUAGGUUGGAUUUAAUUAUCUUCAAGUGGCGCUAAACAUAUUCAACCCUUCAUGUUCAUCAAUGGCUAAUGCAUCCAAUGCAGACCGGAGCUUUAGUUUCGUGCGUUUCAUGAUAACGUCCCCUCAUACCUGGAAACUGUAUAAAUAAUCCACGUGUGUUUGUAUCUUCUGUAUUAGUUCUGUGAAGACCAUUUUGUUACCCAUCUGUAUCUUCAGAGCAGCAUAUAGGGAAGAGAAGCAUUGAAUUCAUAGCAAACACUGAUUCUUUCAAUCCUUAUAUCUUUGCUAUGAUAUUUCCCACAAUUAUUCUUAGAAUUAUUGCAACCGUCUUUGAUUCAAGAUUUGAAAUGUACAACAGCAGCCUUCAAGGCUUUGUCAGAAUGAAGGACAAUCUGAAAAUUGUGUGCAUCAGGAAGCUCAAUAGCUACUUUGAAGCUGGCAAUUUAACUGUUGAAUUUGUAGAUCUCGCAAAAUGUAAUGAUUAGGUUUCAGUCUCAGUUUAGUUUGAAGUUUAUCAUCAGAUUCUUAAAAGUAAAACUGAGCAAACUUUAUCCUCUUGAUCUUGCCUUAUAGUAACAGAAACUGAAGUUUGUGUUUCCUUGAACUUUCAACACAGAUUGAGUCGCAGAAUAAACAUAAACAACACUGCAAAUCAAGAAUGUUCUAAAAUCCAAAGAAUUUUAUACUUCCUAAACUUUUUUUUCUUUAAACAAUGGCCAAGGAUCAGCGCUGUUUAAGUACUUCCUGAGUUUGGGUGUAGUGUGUGCCAGUGGAUCAACACUGACCUUUCCUUUGCAGCAACAAAGAAUCUUUGAUUUACCCUUCCAUUUGUAAUUCUUUAAGUGUCCAUAAAUUUGGAAAUGUCCACAUCAAUGAUCUUGUCCAGUUGAAAGAAAUUUCAGAUGACAGAAUUGCAUGAAUCAGUUGUCUUUGUUGCAGUUGCUUUCAUUUGUCCUCAAUUUGUUCCAAAUGGCUGCUCUUUUAUCCUGCAGUUUCUCUGCCUCUUCUAGUCCGUUCCUUCUGAGAUUGUGUGAAGCAUCGCUCUCUUUUCGACUGAAAUAUUUCUUUAGUCUUUCUCUCCGUUGACAUAGAACAGUACACAAUAAGACACUCACAGAUACAUAUGCACAUGUAUGCACACAUACACACACACAAACACACAUACACACAUGAAAAGAUAGAUACAUUCAUAUAUGUAUGUAUGAGCAUAUAUGAAUGUGUGUAUAUGUAUGUAUGUGUGUAUAUGUGUGCCUAUACUUAUACCAUGCAUACAUAUAUACAUAUGUGUGUGUGUGUGUGUGUAUGUAUAAAUAUAUAUAUAUAUAUAUAUAUAUAUAAAUGAUAGAAUUUUAAAGACGUGCAGGUUAAUAGCAAACAAAGGGUGUGGAAGCCAAGUAACACAGGGUAUUGAAUUCCAACGGGAUGCUUUUCCAUUGAAGAAGAAAAUUGGUUAUUAUGGGAUCUACAUCCUCCAAAUGCUUUACUAAUUAAGCUACAAAGACUUACCAAAUUCCUGUUUUGUUCUUUUAUACAUAUAUAUAUAUAUAUAUAUAUAUAUAUGUGUGUGUGUGUGUGUGUGUGUGUGCAUACAUAUAACUAAUCACUUCUAUAAGUGCCUCAUUCAAAGAAUUCCAUUUCACUGAAUAAAUGCAAUAAUGAAUGUUCCUCGAAGAGCAAAGCUUAAAACAACAUUAAUGAUCUAUUUCUCCCUCACUCUAUAAUUGUUCAUGGUGCUGAAGUUGUUGAGGAACCCUCCCACCUACUCUGGCAUACCUCAUCUCUCCUCGGGCAGACUAAUAGCAAGGAACCGGUUAAUUCAAUGCUUAGGAGUCAAGCAAUAAACCCCAACAUAUUUCGUAUCCUCUGGAUUGGUUUGAGCCAAACUUUAGCAAUGCAACCUUCGCUUUUAGUUGUAACCGUCUUAUCACUAUUUGGAAACAUUCUGUUCUUAGAUUUAGGACCUAGGUUUGAGCUUUUAAGCUGGUCAUAUCUGGCCAGAAUAUUCUACCUGUUCUAUGUUCAAACAGGUCAGAUCUAGUCUUUGACACCUACCUUAAAAUGUCAUUCUAAAAAUAAAGAAUCAUAUGACUGAAAUUUUGAAGCUUUGACAUUAUACAGAAUUAAUUCAAAACAAUGUGAAUAAAUAAGAAUUACAUUUGAUAGAGUAAUCUGAAUACUGAAGGGUUAAGGCAUAUGGUUCCUAUGGACUAAGUUCCUGGAGGCAGAGCAAAUUUAGCGCUUAGGGUCCACCUGUAAACUCAACAUAUUCAAUAUGCAGAGGAUUGGUUUAUCCAAAUUUUAGCAUGCAACCUCGUUUUAGUUGCGACCAUUUUAUCUUCAUUAUAUGACAUGUUGCCCUAUAAUUUAGUACUUGAAAAAAAAAAUAUGCGGUUCCCAUUUUAAAGACUGCAUGGAGUUCUUGCAGAUGUGUAUAGUCUCAGGUCAUCCUUGGUUAAACAGUUCCAUACAAUGACAGUUGGUAGAACUUAUGAACCAUCCUCCACCCCACCAACUUCCCAGUUUAAAACCAGUUCCUGAGCCCUUGGGUGAAUUAGCAAACUUCCCUCUGUUGCAAGUAUCAAAGCUGGGUCUCUAAUCUGAAAAUGAUUUGCUAUCUUCAUGUGUUGCUACCUAUGGCAGCAACCUGUGAGUUGCACUUUCUACCAGCCUUUGUCCCCACCAAUUUUAGGGGGUUGGAGUAGGGCUUCAGAAGUCAUAGACAUUAUCAUUUCUCCUCAGUCUAAACUCUAAAGGACAGAUUAGUUAGUUGAAAGACCAGAUGUGAAAGUAGCCAAGGAGAGUUCUAUAUAUUCCGACAUGCAUGGGUUAAUUGUAAUGGAUGUAGCACAGGUUCUUUGACAUAAACUUAUUGUUUUAAAGUGAUCUAUAUUAUAAUCUUCCAUCAAAGUUUUAUGCUUAUUUGUUCCAGAUCCCAACUUAAUAAUCAGAAAGUUAUUUUACUAAAUUCUUCAUUAUCUUAAAAAUUAAUUGAAAGAAAGGCAGCAUAUAUUGAGAGAAAUGUGGUAACAAAAAAGGUUAAUCCUACGUCAGCACUGGUCAAGUUGACCUAUAAUCAAGACAUUCCAGUUAUGGCAAAUCCUAUUCUUGAGGCACCUAGGUGUUAUGUUAUCUAAUGUAUUAUUCCUUUUUUCAUACUGUAUGAUGUAAUUUGAUGGCAUUUGGUUGUUAUUUCUAACAUGUAGAGCAGAAGCACAAAGGCAACUAUGCCUAGAGAUUCUGUUAAUGGCCACAGUGGGGAGGCAUGCUAUGUGAACUCAGAAAGCGGUAUUUGCUACCUCCUAGGCUGCAAGUUCAAUCUCUACAUUUUCUGAAAUCCUAUUUUUGGCACCACCAUGCUGUCGUUUAACCCUAAAGUCAACCAUAAUCAAAGCUACUCCAUCCAUGGCUAUUCCAUCUGUUACUACAUUUACUGAAAUCCUAUUUUUGGCACCUCUAUGUUGUCAUUGUUUAACCCUGAAGUCAACCAUAAUCAAAGCUGCUCCAUCCAUGGCUAUCCCAUCUGUUAUUCAGGACUACAUUAUCUAAUCCAGCCUUCCCUGACUGAGACAUCAUUGUGUGUUUUGGGAAAUAGAUUUGACUAAUUUUUCCUAGCCAUAGGCAUCAGUGCAAAUGUCAAUUUUCAUAAUAUUAAAAGUGUGAUGAAAGCUGUUGCCAAAGGACUUUAUAACACUGACCUAAUUACCUAGAAUGACCACUUCCUCGCUCCAUCACAAAUUGUCCUCAUAGCACUCUCUAUCUAUCUAUCUGUUCGCCUCUCACUCUAUCUAUCUAUCUGCCUGUUUGUCUGUCUCUCUUCCUCCCGCCUUCUUCUCUCUCUCCUUCGCUCAUCAAUAUUCAACUCAAAUUAACCUUGAGGCUGUAUUUGCUGACUAAAAUGUCAUUAUCUUCUGCACAAUAACGCACAUUUUUGAAACUAAUUACAUUAAUUUCUGUGUCCCUCUCUUCCCUUCCAAGUUGCAAGGGUCAUGUCCAUUUUCAAUAUUAAAAGCUACCAACUUGUCUGUUCCAAUUUAUCAAAAGGGACCUACAACAUAUUGUGUAAAAUAGUAUGCAUUUAGCAACGGUUAAACCCUAAAACUCAUCAAUUAAUCCCUAUCAGUAAAGCAUCUAGCAAUAUGUAUGCGUGACUAUAUAUAUAUAUAUAUGCAUACAUAUGCAUGUAUGUAUAUAUAUUUAUGCACAUAAAUGUGUGUGUGUGUGUGUGUGUGUGAAUACAAAAUAAAUUAAGAACCAUAUAUCUCAGACAAAUAAUGGUUACUAGUUGGUUUUAUACAAAUUUAAACUUCCUUAUUUGGAAGAGAGACUUGCAAUUAUUGGACAGCUAUACAUUUUUUGUCAAACACACAUGCACACACAAACACACACACAUGCAGAUAUACACAUGCACACAUAUAUAACACUUAUACGUCUAUAUAUGUGUGAGUGUGCAUGUAUGUAUAUAUACAUCUGUGCAUAUAUGCUUUAUUCAAAACGUUUAGCUAUCUCAUCAUAUAUAUAUAUAUAUUCAUAUAUAGGGAGAGAUUCAUAUAUAUAUACACACAUACAUAUAUAUAUGUAUGUAUGUAUGUAUGUAUGUAUGUAUGUAUGUAUGUGUGUAUGUAUGUAUGUAUGUCUGUCUAUAUAUAUGUAUAUCUAUAUCUAUCUAUCUAUAUAUAUAUAUAUAGGGAGAGAUUUACACAUACACACACAUAUAUGCAUAUAUGCAUAUAUAUAUAUAUAUAUAUAUAUAUAUAUAUGAAUGCAUAUAAAUAUAUAUGUAUGUAUGUAUGUAUAUAUAUAUAUAUGUGUGUGUAUAUAUAUAUAUAUAUAUUUAUGCAUGUAUAUAUUUCAGAAAAUGAAUAGAAAUGGCUUUUCUGAUAAUUUUUCCACUUUAAUAAUUAGAUUAUAAACAUCUAAUUAUUAAAGUGGAAAAAUUAUCAGAAAAACCAUUUCUAUUUAUUUUUUCAAAUAUAUAAUACUGUACCAAAGAUUUCCUAUUUCUUAUUCUAAUACACAUGCACACACACACACACACAGGCACACAUAUCUGUGUAUAGUUAAAAGAGGUAAUAUUAUGUAAAUAUAUAUAUAAAUGAAAAUAAUUAAGGAAUACACCAAAACAAAAAUAGAUUAUUUACCUUAAUUAAUUAACCAGAAAAUAAAGAAAAAUUAGAUAAGUGAGGUCUAAAAGUGAAACAAAUCAACUUCAAGAACAUUCUAGAAAUAUUUAGCAUUUAAAAAAUAGAAAACAAAUCAGAUUAAGGAAUACUGAAAAACAAGAGUUGUGAUUAUUGUAACGCAAACAGUUGGGAAAAUGUUUAAAAUAUUUAAAACAGAAUAUUAUUAAUUUAAGUUUGAAGCAUAAUGAUAGAAACUACACACACACACACACACACAUACUCUUAUACUCUUACUCUUUUACUCUUUUACUUGUUUCAGUCAUUUGACUGUGGCCAUGCUGGAGUACCGCCUUUUUAGUCUAGCAAAUCGACCCCAGGACUUAUUCUUUGUAAGCCUAGUACUUAUUCUAUCGGUCUCUUUCGGCCAAACCGCUAAGUUACGGGGACGUAAACACACCAGCAUCGGUUGUCAAGCGAUGUUGGGGGGAGACAAACACACACACACAUAUAUAUAUACAUAUAUAUAUAUAUAUAUAUAUAUAUAUAUAUGACGGGCUUCUUUCAGUUUCCGUCUACCAAAUCCACUCACAAGGCUUUGGUCGGCCUGAGGCUAUAGAAGAAGACACUUGCCCAAGGUGUCACACAGUGGGACUGAACCCGGAACCGUGUGGUUGGUAGGCAAGCUACUUAUCACCCAGCCACUCUAUAUGUACAUAUGUAUGCGUGUAUUGAUUCAGAUGAAAAUACCCUUUAUUGCUCUUUGACGUUCUUCAACCAUGUAUUGUCCCCCCUCGUAUUUGAGACACACACGGAUUACGUGAACAGAGAGGGGCAUUUCGAAAGUGUAUUCCGAAGAGGGUUUGCCAACCUUGUCUCUUGCGACUGUAGGAAAACAUCUGUAUCAAAACUGUUUCUGUCGAGAGAGCAGUGUUGCAGGAUACCUCAUCCUUCAUGAUGAGUAAUAUGUGUUAUGUGAAUGUGAGUGUGUGUAUGGAUGCGUGACAGUGUUUGUGUGUAUAUAUAUACAUACACACACAUAUAUAUAUAUUAUAUGUAUAUAUAAGUAUGUACGUAUAUAUCAUCAUCAUCAUCAUCGUUUAACGUCCGUUUUCCAUGCUAGCAUGGGUUGGAUCGUUCAACUGGAGUCUGGGAAGCCAGGAGGCUGUGCCAGGCUCCAGUCUUAUCUGGCAGUGUUUCUACAGCUGGAUGCCCUUCCUAACCACUCCAUGAACACACACGUACAUAAAUACAUACAUACAUACAUAUAUAUAUAUAUAUAUAUACACACACACACAUGCAUACACUUACACACAGACACAUGUAUACAUAUAUGUCUUUACCCACAUACAUAUAUGUACACCACUGCGUUUAAAACUCUAAUUGUGAUAUUCAGCAUCAAUUCUAAAUAUCCUAUUGUUAGCAGAAAGGUUAUAUUCACAUAUAUAUACAUGUAUAUAUUCACACACACACACACACACAAAGAGAUAUAUAUAUAUAUGUAUAUUCUUGUAUUCUUCUACUUGUUUCAGUCAUUUGACUGUGGCCAUGCUGGAUGCAUAAAUAUAUGUGUGUGUAUGUACAUACACAUAUAUGUAUAUACAUACAUAUAUAUGUAUGUGUGUUUAUGUGUGCAUGUGUGUCUAUGAAUAUAUAUAUGUGUGUGUAUAUACAUAUAUAUAUAUAUAUGUAUAUAUACAUAUUUAUAUAUGUGUGUGUAUAUAUAUAUGUAUAUGUAUGUACAUAUAUAUAUACAUAUAUAUGUGUGUGUGUGUAUGUAUGUGUGUAUGUAUGUAUGUAUGUAUGUAUGUAUGUAUGCAUAUAUUGUACAUGUGCAAAUACUUAUAUGUAUGUGCGCAAAUAUUUAUAUUCAGCAAAGUGUGAACGG
rnacentral:lncRNA from 1 species